ACGUGAUCUGAGUUCAGACCGGAGUAAUCCAGGUCAGUUUCUAUCUAUAAAAGAGUUUUUUCUAGUACGAAAGGACCGAAAAAACAUGGCCCAUACUUAAUGCAAGCCAUAAUUAUUAACUUAUGACCAAAUCUUAAUAAGUACCUAAUCCACCACUUAACUCAAAAAAAGAGU
rnacentral:rRNA from 1 species